UUUAGAGUUUGAUUCCUGGCUCAGAUUGAACGCUGGCGGCAGGCCUAACACAUGCAAGUCGAGCGGCAGCACGAGAAAGCUUGCUUUCUUGGUGGCGAGCGGCGGACGGGUGAGUAAUACAUGGGAAUCUGCCCGAUAGUGGGGGACAACGUUUCGAAAGGAACGCUAAUACCGCAUACGUCCUACGGGAGAAAGCAGGCUUAGGCUUGCGCUAUCGGAUGAGCCCAUGUCGGAUUAGCUUGUUGGUGAGGUAAUGGCUCACCAAGGCGACGAUCCGUAACUGGUCUGAGAGGAUGAUCAGUCACACCGGAACUGAGACACGGUCCGGACUCCUACGGGAGGCAGCAGUGGGGAAUAUUGGACAAUGGGGGCAACCCUGAUCCAGCCAUGCCGCGUGUGUGAAGAAGGCCUUCGGGUUGUAAAGCACUUUCAGCGAGGAGGAAAGCAGUAAGGUUAAUACCCUUAUUGUGUGACGUACUCGCAGAAGAAGCACCGCA
rnacentral:rRNA from 1 species